rnacentral:rRNA from 1 species
AUAAGAGGUCCCGCCUGCCCUGUGACUUAAGGUUUAACGGCCGCGGUAUUUUGACCGUGCAAAGGUAGCGCAAUCACUUGUCUUUUAAAUGGAGACCUGUAUGAAUGGCACGACGAGGGCUUAACUGUCUCCUUCCUCCAGUCAAUGAAAUUGAUCUCCCCGUGCAGAAGCGGGGAUACCCUCAUAAGACGAGAAGACCCUGUGGAGCUUUACUUACAGUAGGACCAUGUCAAGGACCCCCACUUAACGGCCCGAACUAAUUGGUCCCCUCCUACAUGUCUUUGGUUGGGGCGACCGCGGGGAAAUGAAAAACCCCCAUGUGGAAUGGGAGCACCCCUGCUCCUACAGCCAAGAGCCACAGCUCUAAGUAACAGAAUUUCUGACCAGUCAGAUCCGGCAUAGCCGAUCAACGGACCGAGUUACCCCAGGGAUAACAGCGCAAUCCUCUUCUAGAGCCCAUAUCGACAAGAGGGUUUACGACCUCGAUGUUGGAUCAGGACAUCCUAAUGGUGCAGCCGCUAUUAAGGGUUCUGUUUGUUCAACGAUUAAAGUCCUACGUGAUCUGA